rnacentral:lncRNA from 1 species
AUGUAUUUCUCCUCUGAUGAUUGCAAGGGUACUGCUACCAGGUUUGCCAGCUGUGUGAGUGCCCGCCUGCUGGAGAGGAAGGAGUUACAAGGAGAGGAGAUCAAAGCAGCUGGGAUCUAUCAAGCUAUCAGGGCCCACUGCCAGAGAAGAGAAGGGACUGGGGCUAAGAGGAUGGCUUUGAUCCCAGGAAGAGAGGGCUGUGGGUCAGGAAACAUGAAGUUUCAAGGUGCCAUCGCGUGCUGGUGCACCUGUGCCGUAGCCCUCAGCACGUCCAUCAUCACCCCCAGAGCCAGGCAUGGUGCCACCUGGCUGUGUGUGCAGAGGGUGAGUAAGAGAAAGCUGUGAGGUUGUUGAAAGAGGAAUGUUGUUUUAUUCUGUUUUGCUAGUUAGGAAAAGUAAAUAUGCCAAUGUUUUCUUCGUGAUGAAGAACCUUACAGUGUGCUUGUUUUGCAUGGUGUUGUUCUCCAAAAUAUCUGUUGCACCCAGGCAAAUGUGCACGCACAUGCUUGCAGGAGUCAACUACAAAACAUUACCUUGAGGUCACCCUUGCUAAAAAGUAAUCCAGCAGCUACUGAGAGAAACCGCCAGGAGAGUCCCUUUGUUGUUUAUCUCCCUAAGGCAGUGGCCUUGAAUUAUGAAAAUGGAAGGGGACUGCUCUAAGAACAGUCACGAGGCAAAAAUGUCAUCGCCGUCUGUAUUGAUUAUUUUUUUUUAAUCAGUCAGUGAAAUCUGUUGAUAGAUUUUGCAUUUCAGUGCCUGAUUUAGCUCAGAACGUAAACAUCACCAGCUGGGCAGCUCUGUCAAUAGCACUCAAUUUUCAGAGAGGCUAAAUAUUCUUACAGUAAUGUUAACUAAAUUUUUCUCCAGAAAUUUGUUCUAUUCUGUUUCUCCGCUUAAGAAACAUCUUCAGAAAUCCAGCCAAAAGCACAGAAGGUCUGACUGUGGUGAUCUGCCCUAUUUGGACAUUAGUAGAACAUUAACGAAUCAUCAGCGUAAUGCAAAAUUUACUUUUUCACAUGGUGAUGGUACUACUAUAGUUCCAAAGACACAGAUAUUAAGAGUUUGACAGGAAUGGCAGCAACGUUUCUUAGUCAUAAUGGUAAAUGUCAUUUGGCUGGUGAGAACCAAAGUUGAGGUACACGGCAGUCUUCAUGCACUGUAGCUCAGUAAAUAUGGCACUGGAUCAGGACCAGGAUUCUGCUUGUAUCUUCUUUUUUCUUUCUAGAAAAUAUUCUGUUUCCUUUAUGCUGUAGUUUGCCGUUUGCCUUUGCAAAAAUUACACUUCCUAAAGUUCUCAGAGAUCUAGAGAUGGUAUAUGUAAACUAUUCUUCAUCCUGAAAUUUCACUACACUUCCAAAAGAAAAUAUUUCCUCCAGUUUCUGAGUAGUUGAAGUGGUCAUGGGUGAUAUCUUGAGAGCUUAAGAAAUAACAGCAUUGCAGUGGUUUUGUUCACAAUGACAAAACAUAAAGAGGCACAGUAAGGCAGCUUAUGGGAAAGAUAGUACAAUAACAACACUGACCUCCUGACCCUUGUAAAUUAGGAAGUGCAAUUUCUAAAUCAAAAACAGCACCAGAAACU